CCUACGGGUGGCAGCAGUGAGGAAUAUUGGUCAAUGGUCGGGAGCCUGAACCAGCCAAGCCGCGUGCGGGAAGAAGGUACAGCGUAUCGUAAACCUCUUUUGUCAGGGAACAAAGCCGGGGACUAGUCCCCGGAUGAGGGUACCUGAAGAAAAAGCAUCGGCUAACUCCGUGCCAGCAGCCGCGGUAAUACGGAGGAUGCGAGCGUUAUCCGGAUUUAUUGGGUUUAAAGGGUGCGCAGGCGGCCUGUUAAGUCAGCGGUAAAAUCGCGGGGCUCAACCUCGUCCCGCCGUUGAAACUGGCGGUCUUGAGUUGGAGAGAAGUAGGCGGAAUGCGCGGUGUAGCGGUGAAAUGCAUAGAUAUCGCGCAGAACCCCGAUUGCGAAGGCAGCGUACCGGCUCCACACUGACGCUGAGGCACGAAAGCGUGGGUAUCGAACAGGAUUAGAUACCCGUGUAGUC
rnacentral:rRNA from 1 species